AGACUUUCACAUGAAAAAACAAACUGUAAAACUACAAAAAGGAAUUUUAAGGAGGAAAGAACAGACUGAAAACAUAAAUAAGGAGGGAGACACAGACACAGAGGUUUUGGCACAGCCGGCGUUUGAAGCGGCUUCAUGAAGCGCAGCGGGACGUCGAAGACGAAACACUGAUCUGUAUCCAAACAUCUCGCCUGAGCCUCCGGAUCAGGACGAGAGACGUGACCGUCUGAGUGUUCGUGUUUCUAUCAUCUUCACCGGUAAGUCUUCGGAGCGUGCCAGUGGAGGUCCUGGUAGACGUCGGGCACGUCGCUGAGAUCGGCCUCUACGAGAUCCUGACCCGGAUACACCACGACCGGUACUUCCUGUUUGUCCGCGCCGAGCAACACCCAGCCC